UAAGGAAUAUUGGUCAAUGGACGCAAGUCUGAACCAGCCAUGCCGCGUGAAGGAUGAAGGUCCUCUGGAUUGUAAACUUCUUUUAUCUGGGACGAAAACGGGAUUUUUAUCUCAAUUGACGGUACCAGAGGAAUAAGCACCGGCUAACUCCGUGCCAGCAGCCGCGGUAAUACGGAGGGUGCGAGCGUUAGCCGGAUUUACUGGGUUUAAAGGGUGCGUAGGUGGGCUGAUAAGUCAGUGGUGAAAUCUCCGAGCUUAACUUGGAAACUGCCGUUGAUACUAUAGGUCUUGAAUUAUCUGGAGGUAAGCGGAAUAUGUCAUGUAGCGGUGAAAUGCUUAGAUAUGACAUAGAACACCAGUUGCGAAGGCAGCUUACUACAUAUAAAUUGACGCUGAGGCACGAAAGCGUGGGGAUCAAACA
rnacentral:rRNA from 1 species